AUUUAUUUAGUAUAACAAGUACUUUUGAUUUCCAAUCAAAUAGUCUAAUAAAUUAGAAUAAAUA
rnacentral:tRNA from 1 species